rnacentral:sRNA from 1 species
GCUUAGCCCCGAUAGCAGUGAAAAUCCUUUUUAUUUUUUCUUUAAAAAUAAAAAGAUUGAAACGAAUAGCGGGAGAAAUG